rnacentral:lncRNA from 1 species
AUCUCUUGAGACUUCACUUCAGCUUCACUGACUUCUGGAUUCUCCUCUUGAGUAAAAGGACUCAGCCAACUAUGAAGUUUUUUGUUUUUGCUUUAAUCUUGGCUCUCAUGCUUUCCAUGACUGGAGCUGAUUCACAUGCAAAGGAAAAGCAUCAUUCACAUCGAGGCUAUAGAUCAAAUUAUCUGUAUGACAAUUGAUAUCUUCAGUAAUCACGGGGCAUGAUUAUGGAGGUUUGACUGGCAAAUUCGCUUUGGACUCGUGUAUUCUCAUUUGUCAUACCGCAUCACACUACCACUGCUUUUUGAAGAAUUAUCAUAAGGCAAUGCAGAAUAAAAGAAAUACCAUGAUUUAGUGAAUUCUGUGUUUCAGGAUACUUCCCUUCCUAAUUAUCAUUUGAUUAGAUACUUGCAAUUUAAAUGUUAAGCUGUUUUCACUGCUGUUUCUGAGUAAUAGAAAUUCAUUCCUCUCCAAAAGCAAUAAAAUUCAAGCACAU